rnacentral:rRNA from 1 species
AUUGAACGCUGGCGGCAUGCCUUACACAUGCAAGUCGAACGGCAGCGGACCUUCGGGUGCCGGCGAGUGGCGAACGGGUGAGUAAUGCAUCGGAACGUGCCAUUGAGUGGGGAUAACGUAGCGAAAGUUACGCUAAUACCGCAUAUUCUGUGAGCAGGAAAGCAGGGGACCGCAAGGCCUUGCGCUCUUUGAGCGGCCGAUGUCAGAUUAGCUAGUUGGUGAGGUAAAGGCUUACCAAGGCGACGAUCUGUAGCGGGUCUGAGAGGAUGGUCGGCCACACUGGGACUGAGACACGGCCCAGACUCCUACGGGAGGCAGCAGUUGGGAAUCUUGGGCAAUGGGCGAAAGCCUGACCGAGCGACGCCGCGUGAGGGACGAAGGCCUUCGGGUUGUAAACCUCUGUCUGGGGGGGAUGAGAACGGACGGUACCCCCGGAGGAAGCCCCGGCUAACUACGUG